UGCAAACCUGAUAGCAGGACAGUCACAGGCAGUACUUGAGGUCACUUCAUGAAUCCACAAGUUUUUCUAGGCUUGAAGAUGUCUCUUCACAGCGAGGAUAAAAAUCCCAGUUACUGAAGGUAAAGCAUGUUGGGACUAAGGUCUGAAAUGAGAGGAACAGGGUGGGUCCAAAGCCUCCCUGGAAAAACUCAAGUCUGGGAAGCUGUAGGACAGAGCAGCCUUAAGUAGCUGAGAGAGAGGUGUGUGCCCUGGAAACAGAGAUGUGGAAUAAAGAAGAUGCCAUCUUCAUCUUGGGUCUUAAACGCUAGCAAGUGGCCAUCUAAGGUGCAUCAAUUGGUUUCAACCCACCUGGAACAAAGGAGAAUGAAGAAUACCAAAGGCACAAGUGAAGUUAGACGAGGAUGUCUGAAGAUGACUCCACCAUGCCAUUUUUACUUCUCCUCAGCUCUGCCACCUCCCAGCUCUGUGACCUUGGGAAGUAGCCUCUCUGGGUCUAUUUCCUUAUUAUGCUCAUAAAAUGAACAAAGGAAUUCCUACUCCUCAGAGUGGUUGUGUGGCUUCUUUAAUUACCUACAUUUGUAAUCCAUCACACAUUCGUUAGUGUGUUGUACUGUGAUGGUUUUCGGGUUGCUGUGAUGCUGGAAGCUAUGCCACCAGUAUUUCAAAUAUCAGCAGGAUCACCCAUGGUAGACAGGUUUUGGCAACACUCCUAGACUAAGACAGACUAGCAAGAAAGGUCUGGGGAACUACUUCCAAAAAUUAGCCAAUAAAAACCCAGAAUAGUGUCCAAUAUAGUGCUGGAAGACGAGCCCCCGAUGUUGGAAGGCACUCAAAAUACACAGUGGCCACAACGAUGGACUUAAACACACCAACAGUCGUGAAGAUGUCAGAGGACUGGGCAACAUUUUGUUCUGUUGCACAUGGGGUCGCCAUGAGUCAGAGCUGAUUCAAUGGCAACCAACAGCAUUUGUAAUUAGAUACAAAAAUGUAUGUAAUGCAUCUAGCACAGAGCAGGUGAUCAGAAAAUAUGCAUUUCCUUCAACUACUAUUUUUCUUCGCUUCUCUCCUCCAUUUAUAUUUCCCUCCGCUUCUCUGGCAGCAGACCGUACAUCUCAAAUCACUUAUGUGAUGCCUGCUGCAAGUCAUGGACAGGUGGUGUUAGCCAUGACCGCCAUCUGGCUCCUUCUUUUUAAUGAGCAAAUCUUGCUAUCUAGGCCCUAAACUCAGUCUAGCUGCUGACAGAAUGCAUGUGCUGUAAACAGGUACAAUGUUUAGUUGAAUUUUAAAAUACUUAUUUUAAAUUUUGAGUUGGGAGGCAACCCCCCACCCAGGGCUCUGCUGGGUAGGAUUAUGAAGUCCCUUGGGAAGGAUUAUGAAGUUAUUUACCAGUGCAAUGAACCUCCUCAGAAGUAGAAGUUCUUCACCCUUGGAAGGUUCCAACAAGGUAAUGAUGGCAUAGGUUCUCACUUGUCUAAGCUGAGAGUAGAGGAUUCUGCUUCUGACAGGAGGCAGGGGUGGGCUCUCAGCCCCUCACCCUCUCUGAACUUCUCCAGCCUCAUGCCUUGUGAAAGGGGGGUUCAUAGGGAACAAUAGCCAUGCUGGUGCCAGGGGGUGGCUGGCAUUCAAAGGGGAACUGGCUUGUCUCUGAAGACUAUGAGGACCUGGGGAAGGGGAUUUGCCGAGUCCACCUCAUGGAGCAGAAUGAAGCUGAGAAGGAUGAAAACGAAAGAGGGAGGUAGACCUGAUGAAGGACUUUGGACACGCAGGAUGGAAGGAUUCUGUGCAGUCUGAAAGUUUAACAGGUCAUACUGGAGUAGGCUGGGUUCUAGUCCUAUCCCUUCUGAAUGAUAUCUGUACAGGGGGGAACAGACAGGGAGACAGUCACACACAGGGAGAAGACAUUGUCUCCAAUGGAGGAUCUGUCUCCAAGCCAAGGAAUGCCAAGAAACGCCCAGGCAACCAGAAGUUGGAAGAGACAAAGAAGGAUCUGCCUAGAGCAGACAGAGAGACCACGAUCUUGCUGACACCCUGAAUUCAGACUUCCAGCUUCCAGAACUACGAGAGAAUAAAUUUCUGUUCUUUAAAGCUACUCAUUUUGUGGCAUUUUCUUACGGCAGCCCUAGGAGACUAAGACAGAGGUCAAGGACUGGAGCCUGGCAUUCUAAAGGGGAAGCCAGAGGAAGGAGGAAACACCACAUGGUUUAGAAGCCAAGGACUGGCGGGGCUGGGGCUCUUUGCAGGAGCCACCUUCCUGUCUGCAUGCAUGUCCAGGCCCAGGGCACUGCGGUGCGGGCUGCGCACAAACCCCAGCCCGGAGUACAGGCAUCAGCUUCCUUCACUCUAGGCAUUUACCGCCAACUUGGGGAUAAUUUUUGUCUUUUUCAUUACUCUGCAUGGCAAAUACAUGUAUACACAUCACAGUGUGUGUGUAUGUGUGUACCCUUACAAUCAAGACUUAUCCUCUAUGAUAAGAAAUAAAAACAGCAUUAAUUAUCCUUUGGAGUGACUUCACAGGGAUUUGGGAGAAUCAUUUAAGAAAGAAAUGUGCUCACAACUACCAGUGCUAUUAUUAUUUGAAUUUUAACCCUAAGAAUUUUCCAGCCUACCAGCCAAACCAACACUCAGGCAAAUUUACAGUCUUCAAAGGCGAAAACCAUCCCAGUCCUCUCCUGCUUACUGGGAGAGGGCUGAAUUUCUGGAGCUCCAACUUGACACUGUUCCCUGAACUCCUCCCCUCCCCAUUUCCUGUGGUUUCCGAACUCACUUUUUACCACUCAGGUCAGGGAGAUGCAGUUUGAAUGUGUCAUCAGAUCUGCCUUAGAGUAAACGUAUAUUUUGGGUGCUGCUUUUGUCUAACCCCUGGGUCACAUGACUGUGCUUACAGGGCUCUGAGUGGGCCCUCUCCUUUCUCCUUCUGCAGUCAGCCAAAGGGCUAGAGUCUGGACGUUCAACGAGAGCAGCUCGCUCAUCAUCCUCACUAGUAACCCCCUUCCUGGCCCCCAGGAAGGAGCAAACAGUCCCUGAAACCAUGCUAGCAGGCAUGAAUAAUUUAAUCCCAAAUCCUGGAACUUCUGUGACAACCAAAUCAUCAAACUUCCCUUGACUUCUUUAAUGUUGUGGAAUAAAGUUCAUAACUUUACGUGAGAAUAGCUCUGAUAGUGUCUAUUUAUCUCCAGAUGAGGGUAGUCAGAACUAGAAGAAAUAACCUAAUAUAUGCAUAUGGAAAAUGGAAAAUAUAUGUGUAUAAAACAUAUACAUGAGUGUUAGGAUUGUGCGUUCAGAGACAUGUGCACACACACUCAGCAAUUAUACAACCACAACUCCUCCAAGGACUCAACAGCCAUCCUGUGUGUAAAUCAGGCAUAGGUGCCCUGAUUUCCUCCUUGCCUUCAGAAGUCUGCUCUGUGCAUUUAUAAUUCUAUUUGGUACAUUACGGGGUAUGUUCCUGACAGGAGAGAACUUCCAUUUUGACUAGGUGUCAAUGAAAACAGAAUCUUCUCCUUACGAUUUUACACUUCUGAUAACUGAAAGAAUUUUCCACAGACACAUUUCACAUUCUGCUCCUACUUUCCUAUUGACCUAGUUCUUGGAACAGAUGCCACAGGAUAUGUUUCUAUUGCCCUGUCCCUCUGUGUGACAAUGCCACCUGAGUCAUCAGGGUGAGCAGGAGUGUUCCUGGAAGCCAUGUCUACCUCAAAACAGCUACGGACUGCAUGUGCUGAAGAGACUGCAAACUGCAUAAAUACCCCACAAAAUCCAAAUUAAAUACAUCCCGAGCUUAAUUUUCCCUUAGCUGGAGCCCCAAAAUGCUCGAAGUCACUUCAAUACCACAAGAAAUGAUGAAAGUGUGUAAGGGCAAAGUUGGAGUAGAAAGAGAUGAUAGUCUUAACCUAUUUCAAUUAAAAUAUCUUCCUUUUGCAAAUUUUACAAAACAUAUGCCCAAGC